rnacentral:lncRNA from 1 species
GAAUACUUAUGCAUCAUUGUUGAUCCAUAUCUAUUGUUGCACUAGAUACUUUGAACUCUACGAAAUGAUAGAAGGUUAUGAAGUAAGAAUCACUUGUUAAUUAAAUUAAAAUGAUUACAAGACACGAAACACAUUCAACAAAACUAUAUUGAACCCCAUCACUACCACACAAGCGAGCACAACACGAAUUGCUUUCAAUUCUGCAUUAAUACAACGAAGCUGGUAUAUGUAUGCCUGUUCUUCAAAGUUUUUCCUACUCAUAUCUGCAUCAACGUGUUUUCUGUUUAGAUCUUCAUCAACUGCGGAACUGUCCACCUUAGUUUUGUCAUCGACCCAUUGAAACAACCCACAGUCCACCUCCUUAUCUGGCCUGUAAGGACAUCGAAGGAAGGAUCAUCCCUUGUUCCCCGACGUUCCAGCAACCUUAAUCGUGACUUCACAAUUAUGUGAACACCUUACCUUCGAUCCAACCAGUGGAAAAACCCACAGUUCACCUCCUUAUCUAGCCAGUAAGGACAUCGAAGGAAGGAUCGCCCCUUGUUCGCCGAUGUUCCAACAACCUUAAUCAUAACUUCACAGUUAUGUGAACACCUUACCUUCGAUCCAACCACCGGUCAAUAGUAUGUUUCUGAAAUGCUCCUUCCCGAACUCGCCUGAAAAUUCAUGGUCUGAUAAUCUACUGAUGGGAUAUCCGGUAUGGAAGAUUGUUGAUGAAUAAAUAGAACGGAUCUUAAAUGGAGUAAUGUGAAAAUGGUUGGUUGGACGAGUUGAGAAGAAACAUUAGAAAAAUAUAGAAAUGGUGGGUUAGAUGAAAUGAGAAGUGAAAAAAAUGGAGAAGUUGGAUCUGGAGAAGCUGGAUCCAAUAAUGAAGAUAAGGUGAGGAGGGAGAAGAUGAAAUAAUGGUGGGAGGGGGAGAGAGGGUGUCAGAAUAAUUUUCACGGUUUUCUGGGUUUUUUUUCGGUUUCAAC